AGUGAACGCUGGCGGUAGGCCUAACACAUGCAAGUCGAACGGCAGCACAGUAAGAGCUUGCUCUUACGGGUGGCGAGUGGCGGACGGGUGAGGAAUACAUCGGAAUCUACUUUUUCGUGGGGGAUAACGUAGGGAAACUUACGCUAAUACCGCAUACGACCUACGGGUGAAAGCAGGGGACCUUCGGACCUUGCGCGAUUGAAUGAGCCGAUGUCGGAUUAGCUAGUUAGCGGGGUAAAGGCCCACCAAGGCGACGAUCCGUAGCUGGUCUGAGAGGAUGAUCCGCCACACUGGAACUGAGACACGGUCCUGACUCCUACGGUAGGCAGCAGUGUGGAAUAUUCGACAAUGGGCGCAAGCCUGAUCCAGCCAUACCGCGUGGGUGAAGAAGGCCUUCGGGUUGUAAAGCCCUUUUGUUGGGAAAGAAAAGCAGCAGGUUAAUACCCCGCUGUUCUGACGGUACCCAAAGAAUAAGCACCGGCUAACUUCGUG
rnacentral:rRNA from 1 species